rnacentral:rRNA from 1 species
UACGUAGGGUGCAAGCGUUAUCCGGAAUUAUUGGGCGUAAAGAGCUCGUAGGCGGUUUGUCGCGUCUGCUGUGAAAACUGGGGGCUCAACCCCCCAGCCUGCAGUGGGUACGGGCAGACUAGAGUGCGGUAGGGGAGAUUGGAAUUCCUGGUGUAGCGGUGGAAUGCGCAGAUAUCAGGAGGAACACCGAUGGCGAAGGCAGAUCUCUGGGCCGUAACUGACGCUGAGGAGCGAAAGCGUGGGGAGCGAACAGG